rnacentral:tmRNA from 1 species
GAGUUUGCAUCCACCCAUUACCUCACCUAUAUAAGAGUCGUCCUUCGGGACUAUGGACAUAAACGCGCUCGUAAUAAGCGGAUCGGACCCGGGGGCGGUACCCGGCGGCUCCACCAACCAUCCUUCGUUUGGGGAUUUUGGGGCCGAAACAGGAUCGACGAACGUCUAAAGGGGUUAGCUUUGUCUCGGCUGUCUGCCACCGUUACCGGCGAAAACAGUACAAUUGCAAACGACAAUCGUGCUCCGGUUGCAGUUGCUGCGUAAGCAGUGGCAAGACCGAAACUUAAGCCCUUGCGCCUAGCCGCGUAAGGCGGGGUUCGCAGGUACCUGGCAACAGAAACCUGCAUU